rnacentral:rRNA from 1 species
CCCUUAGAUGUUCUGGGCCGCACGCGCGCUACACUGAUGCAUUCAACGAGUCUAAAACCUGCUCUGAUAGGGGUGGGUAAUCUUUUGGAUGUGCAUCGUGAUUGGGAUAGAUGAUUGCAAUUUUUCAUCUUCAACGAGGAAUGCCUAGUAAACGCAAGUCAUCAGCUUGCAUUGAUUACGUCCCUGCCCUUUGUACACACCGCCCGUCGCUCCUACCGAUUGAAUGAUCCGAUGAAUAUCAUGGAUUGAGGAUGCAAGUAGGUUAGCCUAUCUUCAUCUUCGAGAAGUGAAGUAAAUCUUAUCAUUUAGAGGAAGGAGAAGUCGUAACA